CAGCCGCCACGGGAAUACGUAGGGUGCGAGCGUUAAUCGGAAUUACCGGGCGUAAAGCGUGCGCAGGCGGUUGUGUAAGACAGGUGUGAAAUCCCCGGGCUUAACCUGGGAACUGCGCUUGUGACUGCACAGCUAGAGUAUGGCAGAGGGGGGUGGAAUUCCACGUGUAGCAGUGAAAUGCGUAGAGAUGUGGAGGAACACCGAUGGCGAAGGCAGCCCCCUGGGCCAAUACUGACGCUCAUGCACGAAAGCGUGGGGAGCAAACAGGAUUAGAUACCCGAGUAGUCCCUGUCUCUUAUAC
rnacentral:rRNA from 1 species